GAUCCGUUGGCUGUCGAGGACAGUAUUUUCUACGUCCCCCUUCCCCACAAUCGCCUUGAAAAACAAGAGGCGGAACUCGAAGCAUUAUCAAGGCUCUGAACAACGCCAGUGCCCCAAAACCAAUGGUCAUCUGCAGCUUCGUAUGAAACUUAAACGAUGGACAAGAUUUUUUGGCACACCGGGUACAAUAAAAUUUUAGGAUGAGAGAGCUGAAACAGAGAGGUUAAAUUACAAGUUCAAAUUCACAGAGGUGG